GCACCCGUAGCUCAGCUGGAUAGAGUGCUGCCCUCCGAAGGCAGAGGUAAGUCAAGCCUACCGGGUGAU
rnacentral:tRNA from 1 species